rnacentral:tRNA from 1 species
GCGGCGGUGACCGGAAUUGGAUAACGGCUCCGACUGCUAAUCGGAAGAGCUGCCGGCGUGAACAAUGUCACCUGGGCACGUCAGCAUGCUUGCGGGUUCAAGUCCCGCCCGUCGCG